CCUUGCUUCUGUUGCUCUCUGUUCCCACCUGACCCCAUGCCGAACUCAGAAGUGAAACGCCGUAGCGCCGAUGGUAGUGUGGGGUCUCCCCAUGCGAGAGUAGGGAACUGCCAGGC
rnacentral:rRNA from 1 species